UUUGGUAGUAAUGGCAAAGAGGAUACACCUGUUCCCAUCCCGAACACAGUAGUUAAGCUA
rnacentral:rRNA from 1 species